rnacentral:rRNA from 1 species
AUUGAACGCUGGCGGCAUGCCUUACACAUGCAAGUCGAACGGCAGCACGGGUGCUUGCACCUGGUGGCGAGUGGCGAACGGGUGAGUAAUACAUCGGAACGUACCUUAUCGUGGGGGAUAACGCAGCGAAAGCUGUGCUAAUACCGCAUACGCCCUGAGGGGGAAAGCGGGGGAUCGAAAGACCUCGCGCGAUUAGAGCGGCCGAUGCCUGAUUAGCUUGUUGGUGGGGUAAAAGCCCACCAAGGCGACGAUCAGUAGCUGGUCUGAGAGGACGAUCAGCCACACUGGGACUGAGACACGGCCCAGACUCCUACGGGAGGCAGCAGUGGGGAAUUUUGGACAAUGGGGGCAACCCUGAUCCAGCAAUGCCGCGUGAGUGAAGAAGGCCUUCGGGUUGUAAAGCUCUUUUGUCAGGGAAGAAACACCGGCUCUAACACAGUCCGGGAAUGACGGUACCUGAAGAAUAAGCACCGGCUAACUACGUGCCAGCCGCCGCAGUAA